UUUAUGGAGAGUUUGAUCCUGGCUCAGGAUGAACGCUGGCGGCGUGCCUAAUACAUGCAAGUCGAGCGAACAGAUAAGGAGCUUGCUCCUUUGACGUUAGCGGCGGACGGGUGAGUAACACGUGGGUAACCUACCUAUAAGACUGGAAUAACUCCGGGAAACCGGGGCUAAUGCCGGAUAACAUGUUGAACCGCAUGGUUCUACAG
rnacentral:rRNA from 1 species